rnacentral:rRNA from 2 species
AACGAACUCUGGUAUUGAUUGGUGCUUGCAUCAUGAUUUACAUUUGAGUGAGUGGCGAACUGGUGAGUAACACGUGGGAAACCUGCCCAGAAGCGGGGGAUAACACCUGGAAACAGAUGCUAAUACCGCAUAACAACUUGGACCGCAUGGUCCGAGUUUGAAAGAUGGCUUCGGCUAUCACUUUUGGAUGGUCCCGCGGCGUAUUAGCUAGAUGGUGGGGUAACGGCUCACCAUGGCAAUGAUACGUAGCCGACCUGAGAGGGUAAUCGGCCACAUUGGGACUGAGACACGGCCCAAACUCCUACGGGAGGCAGCAGUAGGGAAUCUUCCACAAUGGACGAAAGUCUGAUGGAGCAACGCCGCGUGAGUGAAGAAGGGUUUCGGCUCGUAAAACUCUGUUGUUAAAGAAGAACAUAUCUGAGAGUAACUGUUCAGGUAUUGACGGUAUUUAACCAGAAAGCCACGGCUAACUACGUGCCAGCAGCCGCGGUAAUACGUAGGUGGCAAGCGUUGUCCGGAUUUAUUGGGCGUAAAGCGAGCGCAGGCGGUUUUUUAAGUCUGAUGUGAAAGCCUUCGGCUCAACCGAAGAAGUGCAUCGGAACUGGGAAACUUGAGUGCAGAAGAGGACAGUGGAACUCCAUGUGUAGCGGUGAAAUGCGUAGAUAUAUGGAAGAACACCAGUGGCGAAAGGCGGCUGUCUGGUCUGUAACUGACGCUGAGGCUCGAAAGUAUGGGUAGCAACAGAUUAGAUACCCUGGUAGUCAUACCGUAACGAUGAUGCUAGUGUGAGGUUUCGCCCUCAGUGCUGCAGCUACGCAUAGCAUCCGCCUGGGGGAGUACGCCGCAAGGCUGAAACUCAAGGAAUU